GAGGCGCCCAAGGCCGGCAUUGCCGAGCUGACCGACCAGCUGCAGCAGACAGCAACGGCGACCUCGGUGGCGCGUGCACGGGGCGAGCAGCAAGAUGGCCGUGCGCCACCGCCUCCUGGCGCUCGCGUGGCUCGCCGUGGCGCUCUGGCUGGCGGCCGCCGCCGGCUGCCUCGGCCGGCACGUCCUGCCGCCGCCGCUGCCGCCGUCCCUAUCUCCGCCGCCGGUCGGCGCCCGUCACGGUCCGGCUCGGCGCCCUUCCCGUCCCAUCUGCCCGCCGGAAGGCUGCUCCGGCCAGGGCACGGGCACGCGUUAACUUCCACGACCACCGUCGCUGCGUAGACGAACCAGUGUGAUGAUGCCGCUCAAUUCCACAGAACAAAAUUAAGAAGUAGAAAAAAAAAUAAACUGCCGAUCAUGGCGUGCGGCAUGUUGUACUAUUCAAGAUCGAACUCUCCAUUACUCCGCAUGCUCGAUGUUUACUUGAAUAAGAAAGUGUGAUACCGAGAGAGUGAAGAUUUGUUAUGGUCUACAGUUUUUGAAUGAAGAACAAUCUUAUUACAGCUGCUA